GGUUAAGCGACUAAGCGUACACGGUGGAUGCCCUGGCAGUCAGAGGCGAUGAAGGACGUGCUAAUCUGCGAUAAGCGUCGGUAAGGUGAUAUGAACCGUUAUAACCGGCGAUUUCCGAAUGGGGAAACCCAGUGUGUUUCGACACACUAUCAUUAACUGAAUCCAUAGGUUAAUGAGGCGAACCGGGGGAACUGAAACAUCUAAGUACCCCGAGGAAAAGAAAUCAACCGAGAUUCCCCCAGUAGCGGCGAGCGAACGGGGAGCAGCCCAGAGCCUGAAUCAGUGUGUGUGUUAGUGGAAGCGUCUGGAAAGGCGCGCGAUACAGGGUGACAGCCCCGUACACAAAAAUGCACAUGCUGUGAGCUCGAUGAGUAGGGCGGGACACGUGGUAUCCUGUCUGAAUAUGGGGGGACCAUCCUCCAAGGCUAAAUACUCCUGACUGACCGAUAGUGAACCAGUACCGUGAGGGAAAGGCGAAAAGAACCCCGGCGAGGGGAGUGAAAAAGAACCUGAAACCGUGUACGUACAAGCAGUGGGAGCCUCUUUAUGGGGUGACUGCGUACCUUUUGUAUAAUGGGUCAGCGACUUAUAUUCUGUAGCAAGGUUAACCGAAUAGGGGAGCCGAAGGGAAACCGAGUCUUAACUGGGCGUUAAGUUGCAGGGUAUAGACCCGAAACCCGGUGAUCUAGCCAUGGGCAGGUUGAAGGUUGGGUAACACUAACUGGAGGACCGAACCGACUAAUGUUGAAAAAUUAGCGGAUGACUUGUGGCUGGGGGUGAAAGGCCAAUCAAACCGGGAGAUAGCUGGUUCUCCCCGAAAGCUAUUUAGGUAGCGCCUCGUGAAUUCAUCUCCGGGGGUAGAGCACUGUUUCGGCAAGGGGGUCAUCCCGACUUACCAACCCGAUGCAAACUGCGAAUACCGGAGAAUGUUAUCACGGGAGACACACGGCGGGUGCUAACGUCCGUCGUGAAGAGGGAAACAACCCAGACCGCCAGCUAAGGUCCCAAAGUCAUGGUUAAGUGGGAAACGAUGUGGGAAGGCCCAGACAGCCAGGAUGUUGGCUUAGAAGCAGCCAUCAUUUAAAGAAAGCGUAAUAGCUCACUGGUCGAGUCGGCCUGCGCGGAAGAUGUAACGGGGCUAAACCAUGCACCGAAGCUGCGGCAGCGACGCUUAUGCGUUGUUGGGUAGGGGAGCGUUCUGUAAGCCUGUGAAGGUGUGCUGUGAGGCAUGCUGGAGGUAUCAGAAGUGCGAAUGCUGACAUAAGUAACGAUAAAGCGGGUGAAAAGCCCGCUCGCCGGAAGACCAAGGGUUCCUGUCCAACGUUAAUCGGGGCAGGGUGAGUCGACCCCUAAGGCGAGGCCGAAAGGCGUAGUCGAUGGGAAACAGGUUAAUAUUCCUGUACUUGGUGUUACUGCGAAGGGGGGACGGAGAAGGCUAUGUUGGCCGGGCGACGGUUGUCCCGGUUUAAGCGUGUAGGCUGGUUUUCCAGGCAAAUCCGGAAAAUCAAGGCUGAGGCGUGAUGACGAGGCACUACGGUGCUGAAGCAACAAAUGCCCUGCUUCCAGGAAAAGCCUCUAAGCAUCAGGUAACAUCAAAUCGUACCCCAAACCGACACAGGUGGUCAGGUAGAGAAUACCAAGGCGCUUGAGAGAACUCGGGUGAAGGAACUAGGCAAAAUGGUGCCGUAACUUCGGGAGAAGGCACGCUGAUAUGUAGGUGAAGCGACUUGCUCGUGGAGCUGAAAUCAGUCGAAGAUACCAGCUGGCUGCAACUGUUUAUUAAAAACACAGCACUGUGCAAACACGAAAGUGGACGUAUACGGUGUGACGCCUGCCCGGUGCCGGAAGGUUAAUUGAUGGGGUCAGCGCAAGCGAAGCUCUUGAUCGAAGCCCCGGUAAACGGCGGCCGUAACUAUAACGGUCCUAAGGUAGCGAAAUUCCUUGUCGGGUAAGUUCCGACCUGCACGAAUGGCGUAAUGAUGGCCAGGCUGUCUCCACCCGAGACUCAGUGAAAUUGAACUCGCUGUGAAGAUGCAGUGUACCCGCGGCAAGACGGAAAGACCCCGUGAACCUUUACUAUAGCUUGACACUGAACAUUGAGCCUUGAUGUGUAGGAUAGGUGGGAGGCUUUGAAGUGUGGACGCCAGUCUGCAUGGAGCCGACCUUGAAAUACCACCCUUUAAUGUUUGAUGUUCUAACGUUGACCCGUGAUCCGGGUUGCGGACAGUGUCUGGUGGGUAGUUUGACUGGGGCGGUCUCCUCCUAAAGAGUAACGGAGGAGCACGAAGGUUGGCUAAUCCUGGUCGGACAUCAGGAGGUUAGUGCAAUGGCAUAAGCCAGCUUGACUGCGAGCGUGACGGCGCGAGCAGGUGCGAAAGCAGGUCAUAGUGAUCCGGUGGUUCUGAAUGGAAGGGCCAUCGCUCAACGGAUAAAAGGUACUCCGGGGAUAACAGGCUGAUACCGCCCAAGAGUUCAUAUCGACGGCGGUGUUUGGCACCUCGAUGUCGGCUCAUCACAUCCUGGGGCUGAAGUAGGUCCCAAGGGUAUGGCUGUUCGCCAUUUAAAGUGGUACGCGAGCUGGGUUUAGAACGUCGUGAGACAGUUCGGUCCCUAUCUGCCGUGGGCGCUGGAGAACUGAGGGGGGCUGCUCCUAGUACGAGAGGACCGGAGUGGACGCAUCACUGGUGUUCGGGUUGUCAUGCCAAUGGCACUGCCCGGUAGCUAAAUGCGGAAGAGAUAAGUGCUGAAAGCAUCUAAGCACGAAACUUGCCCCGAGAUGAGUUCUCCCUGACCCUUUAAGGGUCCUGAAGGAACGUUGAAGACGACGACGUUGAUAGGCCGGGUGUGUAAGCGCAGCGAUGCGUUGAGCUAACCGGUACUAAUGAACCGUGAGGCUUAACCUU
rnacentral:rRNA from 1 species